CGUUCCCGGGCCUUGUACACACCGCCCGUCACACCAUGGGAUUUGGUUCGGCCUUAAGCCGGUGUGCCAACCGCAAGGGGGUAGCCGACCACGGCCGGGUCAGAGACUGGGGUG
rnacentral:rRNA from 1 species